UACAGAGGGUGCAAGCGUUGUUCGGAAUUAUUGGGCGUAAAGCGCGUGUAGGCGGCUUUGCAAGUCGGGUGUGAAAGCCCUCAGCUCAACUGAGGAAGUGCGCCCGAAACUGCAGAGCUUGAGUACCGGAGAGGAUGGCGGAAUUCCCCAAGUAGAGGUGAAAUUCGUAGAUAUGGGGAGGAACACCGGUGGCGAAGGCGGCCAUCUGGACGGAUACUGACGCUGAGGCACGAAAGCCAGGGGAGCAAACGGG
rnacentral:rRNA from 1 species